CUGAAGCAUGCGGACCUGUGAACCAUGAAAGGGUCUUUUGUGUUGUUCCACGGGGAGGAGGGGGGGGGCACCACUCAAAUCACUGCGGUGACCCUGGGAAUCAGGACUUUGAUUAGAUCUCAGCGAGGGACUGAAGUUACAGAACAAAGGUUGCGAUUCAUUCAAGGAGGAAAGUAAUUGGAUUCUGGAGACUUGGCGUCGUGAAGGAAAAUCUGUUGACGAUGAAUUUCAUCAUUUAAAAACGGCUCAAGAGAAAAAUAAAUAACGAUUCUUUAAAUUGUUGGUUCUGUCCAGGCGAGGUGGGGCAGGUGGAACCGGCAGGAGAGGCUGCCUCCAGGUGCACAGGUAAGACCGGCAGGACAGCUCACUCUGAAUCACACUUCUCCUCAGGUGAGGCAACCCUGAUGACGUCACACUGACAUCACCAGGGUUAUGGUUAAAUGAUCGAUUAGCUCUCCUCGUGACGCGUUAACCCUUUAAAACCAGCCUCCUGUAGUCCCGAAACCCUGUCCCUGGUCCCACAGAGGGGGGGUCUGUUACUGAUCCAGUCCAACUAUACUCCCUGUAGUAAUAAUAAUAAUAAUGUGUGGAUUGGUCACGUGCCGCGAUGUGGGAGCCGCCUGGUCAGCUGGGUCAUGCUGUCACCAUGGAAAUGAGACGGAACCGGGCUGUGUUAACGUAAAGCAGCCUUUCGGACCGUUAAAGCAUUAUUACGCGUUUAAAUACUGCGUCAGGUGCGAGUUUCAGCCCUUUAGAUCUCCACUCCUCUGUUAUUCCUCACUGGAGCGUUUGUACAUUAACCUCCAGCAGAGAAGGACGUGCUGAUGAUGUGUACUGCAGACCUGCUUCUUCUCUCGGCAGUUUCAACCGCUGCCGCCCCCCGCAGGAUCAAACAUACAUCACCAGUCCACUGGUUCAUAUUCUGGAUAUACAUUUGUCUACUGAGAGAAAUGUAAAACCAGAUUAUUCAUAUUCUGAAGCUGAAGUCCUUCAGUUGUGUCCGUUAGAUGGAAGGUGAGUGAACCUGAAGGUGUCCUGGAGUCUGCAGAUCCUCACAGUAAUAGAGAUCUGCACACAGCACCUCUGACUGCUGGAUUUCUUUAUCUGCUGGCGUUAGAAGCUCAAUCGGUC